rnacentral:rRNA from 1 species
UACAGAGGGGGCGAGCGUUGUUCGGAAUUACUGGGCGUAAAGGGCGCGUAGGCGGCCCGCUAAGUCGAACGUGAAAUCCCCAGGCUCAACCUGGGAACUGCGUCCGAUACUGGCAGGCUUGAAUCCGGGAGAGGGAUGUGGAAUUCCAGGUGUAGCGGUGAAAUGCGUAGAUAUCAGGAGGAACACCGGUGGCGAAGGCGGGUCUCUGGGCCGUAACUGACGCUGAGGAGCGAAAGCGUGGGGAGCGAACAGG